GCCAGACCUAGGCAAGAACGUGCGCCUGGGGCUGGGGCUGCAGUCCGGGGGCGUGGCUCCUCUUGGUCUUUACCCAGGGUAAGUCCUUCCCAAGUACGAAGUAACAUGGACUUGGGUCUGUGAGGAGCCCCAGGCUGCUCUCCAGGACCGCAAAGUUGCUAAGAGACAGAGAAGGGAUGCGGGGAAGAAAGGGCUCGCUGUUGCCAACCUCAUGGAUGAAAGCCACCUUCCUGUGCGCGUCUAGACCAACUAAGUUCCAACCAAUCUAAGGUCUUCCCCUGGUGGUUCUGGAUGACGUCAGCUCCUGGAUUGCUGACUCCUUCUCCACUGCUACCCCUGCCAUGAUCAUCGGAGACUUCAGCAUCCAUGAAGAUCUGCCAGUACCUGGCUUCUUAGUUCCAGUGAGCUUUUGCUCCAUUCACACGGCCAUUCCCUAGACUCGUCACUCCAAGAACCCACUAAGUAGAUUUCCAAAGUCCCACUUUCUGACCACUGCCACCUUCCAUAGAGGCAGCUUACUCUGACGCUCCCUCUCCAUCAAUUCUUUGUUUAAUUAAAAACAACCCUUUUUUGUUAUCCAUGUGACCAUGUGUCUGCUUUCCCCUGACCCAGCUCUGAUUCCAGCAUCCAACACUUGAACCACCCCCCCUUGCCAACAGCCUGGACCUCUGGCAGCAAUCCUUCCUAUACUAGUCCGGCAGAACUCCAGCCCUGGGGUCCUACCCACUUAUUUGGGGUCUGCACCAGAGCACUGAACACUGCUGGAGAAAAAUGACACAAAUUUGAUGACUAGACUCACUACAAACAUGACCACAAAUCUCACUCAACACUGUCA